AUUAAACGCUGGCGGCAUGCCUUACACAUGCAAGUCGAACGGCAGCACGGGGGCAACCUGGUGGCGAGUGGCGGACGGGUGAGUAAAGCAUCGGAACGUAUCCUGGAGUGGGGGAUAACGUAGCGAAAGUUACGCUAAUACCGCAUAUUCUGUGAGCAGGAAAGCAGGGGAUCGCAAGACCUUGCGCUCUGGGAGCGGCCGAUGUCGGAUUAGCUAGUUGGUGGGGUAAAGGCCUACCAAGGCGACGAUCCGUAGCGGGUCUGAGAGGAUGAUCCGCCACACUGGGACUGAGACACGGCCCAGACUCCUACGGGAGGCAGCAGUGGGGAAUUUUGGACAAUGGGCGCAAGCCUGAUCCAGCCAUGCCGCGUGAGUGAAGAAGGCCUUCGGGUUGUAAAGCUCUUUCGGCGGGGAAGAAAUUGCACGGGUUAAUACCCUGUGUAGAUGACGGUACCCGAAUAAGAAGCACCGGCUAACUACGUG
rnacentral:rRNA from 1 species